GAAAUGCGAUAAGUAAUGUGAAUUGCAGAAUUCAGUGAAACAUCGAAUCUUUGAACGCACCUUGCCCUCCUUGGUAUUCCUUGGAGCAUGCCUGUUUGAGUAUCAUGAAAUCUUCAAAGUAAAUCUUUUGUUAACUCAAUUGGUUUCUACUUUGGUAUUGGAGGUCUUUGCAGCUUCACACCUGCUCCUCUUUGUUCAUUAGCUGGAUCUCAGUGUUAUGCUUGGUUCCACUCGGCGUGAUAAGUUAUCUAUCGCUGAGGACACUGUAAAAGGUGGCCAAGGUAAAUGCAGAUGAACCGCUUCUAAUAGUCCAUUGACUUGGACAAUACUUUUAUGAUCUGAUCUCAAAUCAGGUAGGACUACCCGCUGAACUUAAGC
rnacentral:misc_RNA from 1 species